UAUUUCUUUACUGAAGUGUUUUCAUAUGUCUGCAGUGGCAGCAUGAGGACAAAGAGACCUAGUAGACAUGCUAAUCACCAUUCUCGCCGCAAGCCCAAACGAGGUCAUCCAGACAAGUAAAAAGUGCCAUGACUUUUGUUUUCAGGAAACUUUUGAGAUAGGACUUGAGAGGGUUUUACACGGGCUUCUGGGGUUUUUAUUGGUCACACGACGUUAACAAACUCGCAAGCUGUAUGUUUUUGAAGCUCUUGCAUUGUUUUCUUUCAGUCUGUGAAGAAAACUCUAGAACAAUUUUUCACACUACACAGUAGACAGUCUGAGAAGUUUAGAAAUGUUCAUGUACUAAGAGCAGCGUCUGUUUCUUUUGUAUUCAUAGGUGUGUAAUUUAAUUGAUAAUUUUUAUAAAUCAACACCUCAAUAUUGUGUCUGUUCUUA